rnacentral:rRNA from 1 species
AUUGAACGCUGGCGGCAGGCCUAACACAUGCAAGUCGAGCGGGAACUUCGGUUCUAGCGGCGGACGGGUGAGUAAUGCGUAGGAAGCUACCCGACAGAGGGGGAUACCAGUUGGAAACGACUGUUAAUACCGCAUAAUGUCUACGGACCAAAGUGUGGGACCUUCGGGCCACAUGCUGUCGGAUGCGCCUACGUGGGAUUAGCUAGUUGGUGAGGUAAUGGCUCACCAAGGCGACGAUCCCUAGCUGGUUUGAGAGGAUGAUCAGCCACACUGGAACUGAGACACGGUCCAGACUCCUACGGGAGGCAGCAGUGGGGAAUAUUGGACAAUGGGCGCAAGCCUGAUCCAGCCAUGCCGCGUGUGUGAAGAAGGCCUUCGGGUUGUAAAGCACUUUCAGCGAGGAGGAAGGAGUUGUAGUUAAUAGCUGCAACUUUUGACGUUACUCGCAGAAGAAGCACCGGCUAACUCUGUGCCAGCCGCCGCUGUAACAC